CGCAGCUUUCGCCACUUUGGCCUUUUGCCGAUUUUCGGUUUAUCUCUGUGGGCAGGAAAAUCGGAAUCGAAUCGGCCCGGCCAUAUAAAAUAAAAGGCCAGACAGUGUCUGGGCUUUGGCACAGUCGUUCGUUUCGCACCAAAUGGGAGACAACAACGUAGGAGAAAAGAGAGUGAGCCACAAAAGAAAAAGAAAUAAUUCGCAGAAAAAUAGUUAACGCGCGUGAUGGUGUGCGUGUGUGUGUGACGCGUUCGUGUGUGAGAAGCAAAGCCAAGGAAAAUGCAACGGAAGUUUUCAGUCGCAAAGAAAAAAGACGAAAAAUCGCAAAACGGAACUGAAACAUAUUGUGAAAUUCGAGCGACAGAGAAAGCGAUACAUCAACGUGGUUUCUGGAGCUUCUAGGUUUUUCUACCACCAGGAAUCAAAGAACGUGAAAGAACUCUUAAAAGAGAUGGCCGGAAAGAAGAACGAGGUUUAUUUUUAGCAUUUUGAUAUCACAAGGCAGCUUUUUUCGCUACACUACGAGAAAAAAAUGACGCAAAUGCGUUUCAAAUAUAGAAUAUCAAGGGUCUGCCGAACGAAACGCAAGGAAAAGAGAAUUUGCUGAAUGAAAUGUAAUAAUUCGCUGACGGAUGACGUCACGUCCUAUGUGGUCAUUAGCACUCCAGUGGCGCAACCAGGGGGCCAAUACUACGCUCCGAAAUAGUUGGUAAAACCUUUGACAAUCAAACCAAAUUAAUUCACAAUUUUCAGCACUUGAAGAAUGGAAGACAACAAAGUGAAAAAACCCGCAAGUUGAAUCUAGAUACGCCCCUGGUUCCAGUUUUCUGCUCUCAUAUGACUAAUUUUGGCAUUGUUAUUGCAUAAAAUUCGCAUGGCGUCAUCAUCAUCAACGCGUACAACUACCAAGCUCGCAAAGAUCGUUAACCCCAAAGCGACGGAGACCUAAUACCAGGCACAAGGUCGACUCCCGUGACCCCCUCCCCAGAAGGGGGUCGCCAUUCGCUGAUGCAGUUUUGUUGCCAUGCGGCGGCCAAACAUCUGUCUCAGAACUGCAAAUGCUGAAAAAAAAACCUGACUGGGCUUGGCUUGGACUGGCCUGGCUCUUCAUCUUCAACUCCAGCCACCACAGUUCCUACUCGUUAUAUGUGAUGAUGUUCCCCCGACUGUAAAGUCUCCUACCUUGCGCGCUAAUCAGUGACCGGGGCUGGUUUUUUAUAUACAGUCAGGUACCUGAAGUAGCGCGCGUGGUGGCAGACAUAUAUCUCCAUCUUCACCAUAUAAAUAAGCGAAAUGCUCGCAGGC
ensembl:ncRNA lncRNA:CR43857 long non-coding RNA:CR43857